rnacentral:lncRNA from 1 species
AGGACCUGGGACCCAGCCACCCCGGAGGAAACCGGAGAGGAAACCAGCUUGGUCUUGCUCUCUGCCUCGUCCCAAUCCCCGGCUCUUACCAAAUGCAGAUCCGUUGGCUGAAUGCCUUUUAGUCUGCAUACAUGCAUCUCAUACCGCACAGCCCAAAUUUCUACAACUUGUCCAGGUGCAGUCUCCUCAGAACUACAAAGCAAGAAAAGAUCACCUUUGGGCUCAGGAACUCACAGUCGUUCUCCCUCUCCCGGAAGGCACAAUGACCAGGACAGUACCGAGCUUUACAGCCAUAUUGAACUCACCAUCAACUCAGCACAUUCAACUCAAUCAGUCAAAAUCGUCUUUUCCUGCUGGUAAAUAACACUGAAAUGAUGGGACCCAAAGCCCAACAACUGGUGUCCUUGUAAGAGAGAGGAAAGGAAGAUUGGACAUACGCAGACAUAGAAGAGACGACAAACAAGAAGGCCAUGUGAGGAUGGAGGCAGAAAUGGGAGUGUGGCAGCCGCAAGCCAAGGAAUACCAAGGACUGCCGGCAGACACCCAAAGCUAGGAGGGAGGCAUGGGUGGGAUUCUCCUUCACAGCCCCCAAAGGAAGUAACCCUGCUGCCGCUUUGAUUUCAGAGUUCUGCCUUCAUACUAUGACAGAGCAGGUUUCUAUUGUUUUAAGCCACCGUGCUUUGGUACUUUGUUAUAGCAGCCUUAGGAAGCUGUUAAUAACACAUAUGGGUAACAAUAAUCGGUGCUGCUGUGAGAUCAUGGAUGCACAAGUCAGAAGUCUAUAUAUAAUAAUUGUAGUGACCUGAUGGCCAGGGCACACCUAUUCUAUCCCUCUCCACAAUGGGAUUCAGUGUGCCAAGAAAUGACCUCUUUGGCAGAGGCUGGAAGAGUUCAGAUGUGAUGAAUAGAGGUGGAUAGCAAGUUUGAAAGCAGUUCAAAUAGAAAGCAUUGGAUUUGGGGCCCAAUGACCUGGGCUCACUUUCUUCUGACAUUAGGCAAAAUUGCUUCAUGGCAAUCAGCCUCAGUUUUGUCAAUGCAUGUAAUAAUAAACCAAACUUAAAACAUUGUUACGGGGGGGCAGAAAGAAGAGUGAGAGGGUAGGAGAGAGAAAGAAGGGAGAGAGAGAGAGACAACGAGAGAAUGUGCAGUUUUCUAGCACUUUGUAAAUGUCCAGUAAAUGCUUCUGUAUUCACUGAGCUAUACUUUUGGUCUGUCUUUAUUGACUGUCAUACCGUCUGGCUCAAGGCUGCCCCAUCAUUCCUGGACACUGUUGAUGAACUAUAUUCACAGACUAGACAUUAAAAAGUGCACUUGAUCAUGUUACUCCCCACUGACUGGGCUUGGAAGAGGAGUAAGGGAAGGAGGCAAAGAUGAGGGUUUAAGUCCACAGCUUCUUGGUGGCAGUGACCAAUAAAUGUGACCAUCGCAUGCUUGUGCUUAAGUUAUUUUAAACAUUCCCCAUUGUCAUAAGGACAAAAUUCAGGUUUCUGUGAUCUGGUCCACUUGCUUACUGGCCUCAUCCCCCUUAUUCCUCUCUUGUAUUUUAGUUUCUGCAACACAGCCUGACCUGUCCUGAUUGAAUCAGGUUCUGCAUUUUCAAUUAUUAUGCCUUGGCUUCUAUUAUUGCCACCGACUGGAAUGUCCUUUCUCACUGACCACCUUUGUACUCUGCACACCGGUCUUCCCUCUCUCUUUCAUGAGCUCUUUUUCUAUCCCUUCCUCCUUGCCACCAAACCCCUAAGAACCACUAAUGUUUUUUUUUACUUUCUUGAUAUUUUAGCCUUUUCCAGAAUGUCUUAUGAUUAGAAUCAGAAAGCAUAUAGAUUUUUAACCACCUUUUACUUAAUAAUAUGCAUGUAAGUCUCCUCCAUAUCAAUAUUAUUGCUGAAUAAUAUUCCAUGGUACAGAUGUACCACAGUUUGUUCAUUCCUUUACCUAUUGAAGAACAUCUUGAUUGCUUCUAAAUUUUAGCAAUUAUCAAUAAAACCUUCCAUGAAUAUUUGUGUGCAACUUUCUAUGUGGACAUGAGUUUUCAACUGCCUGCCUUUUACAAUUAAGCUCAAGUGCCACUUCCUCCAGGAAGCAUUGCCUGAUUCCCUGGGGUCUGCAACAUUGAUCUCCCUCCUGUUUCCAGUACUCCAAUGCACCUGUUCCACCAUAGCACUUAGGGGACUGUACUACACUAACUGUUCCCUGUGUGUCACCCCAGUGAGACUGUGGG